rnacentral:misc_RNA from 1 species
GAUGAAGACGUAGUGAAAUGCGAUAAGUAGUGUGAAUUGCAGAAUUCAGUGAAUCAUCGAAUCUUUGAACGCACAUUGCGCCCCUUGGUAUCCCGAGGGGCAUGCCUGUUCGAGCGUCAUUUCACCACUCAAGCCUGGCUUGGUGUUGGGCGACGUCCUCUUUGGGGACGCGCCUCGAAACGCUCGGCGGCGUGGCACCGGCUUUAAGCGUAGCAGAAUCUUUCGCUUUGGAAGUCGGGGCCCCGUCUGCCGGAAGACCUGCUCGCAAGGUUGACCUCGGAUCAGGCAGGGAUACCCGCUGAACUUAAGCAUAUCAAUAAGCGGAGGA